CGCGUAGGUGGUUAAUUAAGUCAAAUGUGAAAUCCCCGAGCUCAACUUGGGAAUUGCAUUCGAUACUGGUUAGCUAGAGUAUGGGAGAGGAUGGUAGAAUUCCAGGUGUAGCGGUGAAAUGCGUAGAGAUCUGGAGGAAUACCGAUGGCGAAGGCAGCCAUCUGGCCUAAUACUGACACUGAGGUGCGAAAAGCAUGGGGAGCGAACA
rnacentral:rRNA from 1 species